UUUGUGGGAGUUUUUUAGAGGAGGUUUCUGAUAACCUCCAUAACAGUUCAUUUUGGCAAUUUAUUAAACUCCUCUACAUAGAACUCUCACUAUUUUUACGGUAUUAAAAUUUUCAUUCCCGCAAACACACCUAAACAAAUAGAAUAGUGAAACCCCCAAAUCAAACCCUAAACAGAAUUUCUCGAUUUUAAUGGAGGAGAAACGCCGCGAUGCUGCACCUCCAGCUACUCGUUUCGCCACCGCCGACUCAACCGCAUCCGAGCCUACAUCCACGCACCACUGUGCUGGAAGCGUAAGGCCAGGUCCCUCUCACUAGAGUGCAUCAAAUUCGCGUGGCGUCGCUACUGCUUCAUCUUCCACGGCGGGUUCUGCCGCUGGUUCUACCUCUUCAGGAACUCCGGUUCUGAUAUCCGGAGAGUGUUCUAACUCGAUUCCACCUUCUUCCUUCAAUCUCCACAACCAAAAUGCCUCUCAGACUCGAAAUUAAGGAACAUAAAAAGGCUAUGAACAUGCUUCAGCAAGAAUAUGAAGAAAAAAUUGCAAGAUUAGAAGUUGAGGUUAAGGCAUGUCUACAUAAGGAAGAAACAUAUGAAUCAACCACAAGUCAGCUGCAUCAAAAUUUAACAGCAUAUAAAAAUCAAAUAUGCAAGUCCUAGCUAAUAGGUUGGACCAAAUCCAUUUUGAAGUGGAAUCAAAAUAUAAUGUUGAGAUUCAAGACUUGAUAGAAUGCCUGCUAGCUGAGCAGAAAGAAAAAAAUGAGUUAAUUUACUUCUUUAGUUUGCACAUCAAUCCGGCUUUGCUUGUUCGAAACUAUUGAGCAUGAGGAGCAGCUUCUGUUUCUUCAAAGCGAGAUAACAGUAACAUUGCUGCUAUCACAACUAGCAGCAGCAACAAGCAUGUUUCAUUACUAAGCUAUGCUGAUAAAAGAAGAUCUACCCCUUAACAAGUUGCUUCAGAUGUCGGUCAAUUUUUAAUAAUUUGACAGCAUCAGUCAUGAAGAAAUUUGAAAGUGCAACAACUGGCUUAGAAGGAGAUGUAGAUGCAUUCUGCACUUACAUUAUUAAAAGAAAACCAAAGGUACCUGAUUCUAAUGAGUUGUUAAUUAUAACGUAAAAUUCUUUGCUUUCUACUAUUAUUAUUAUUAUUAACCAUGGGUAGGAACAAAAUUCCUCUUGAUUUAUCAAGCACGUGCAACAAUACAGCCAGCUCUAAAUGGUGCUUGCUUUCGACAGAAUAUGCACAUAUUCUGACAGUAUGUAAUAAUUGACAUCUGAAGUGGAGCAAGAUUGUGAAUUUGAUAUUGGCCAUUUGAAGCGGUUCACCUUCCGUGAACUACAAAUUGCUACUGGAAAUUUCAGUCAAAAGAACAUCCUUGGACAAGGAGGCUUUGGAAUUGUCUACAAAGGAUGCCUUACAAAUAAAAUGCUGGUGGCAGUGAAGAGGCUGAAAGAUCACAAUUACACUGGAGAAAUGCAAUUUCAAACUGAAGUUGAGAUGAUCGGCUUGGCUGUGCAUCGUAACCUUUUGCGUCUCUAUGGAUUUUGUAUGACUCCAGAUGAAAGGUUACUUGUUUAUCUCUACAUGCCUAAUGGCAGUGUUGCUGAUCGCUUGAGAGAUGCAGGUCGUAAUCUACUUCAGUGAGAUUGCGGAUAUGGUGACAGAGCGGAGUAUGGUUCGUUUCUUAUGUAUUUCUGUUUUACUUUCAUCAUAGUAUUCUCUCACCUUUGCACAUUUAUCUUUAUGGCCUUAGAGGCUUAUUUGAGAGAUAGGUUGUAUAAGCUGUUUUAAUUCUAAAACUCUGUAUCUUUCUAUUUGUAAAUGGUCGGCUUAAACUCCACAAGUUGCGGCUAGUUCUCUAUGAGUAUUAUAUUCUUGUAUUUAUAUAUGUUUUAUCCUCUUAUGUCUAUACCAUGUAUUCUAUGCGUUAGCUUCGUGUGAACGUUUCGCGUUUUUGUAACUCUGUCUUUGAGCUAUAUCCUUCAUCAAGCUUCUAGA